CAGCCGCCGCGGUAAAACGAAGGGGGCUAGCGUUGUUCGGAUUUACUGGGCGUAAAGGGUGCGUAGGCGGAUUGUUAAGUCAGGGGUGAAAUCCCGAGGCUCAACCUCGGAACUGCCUUUGAUACUGGCGACCUUGAGUCCGGGAGAGGUGAGUGGAACUGCGAGUGUAGAGGUGAAAUUCGUAGAUAUUCGCAAGAACACCGGUGGCGAAGGCGGCUCACUGGUCCGGAACUGACGCUGAGGCACGACAGCGUGGGGAGCAAACAGGAUUAGAUACCCCUGUAGUCCCUGUCUCUUAUCA
rnacentral:rRNA from 1 species